ensembl:lncRNA
GUUGUGGUUGUGGGGCUGGUGUGGUGGGUGGUUGUGGGGGCUGGUGGUUGGGGUUGUGGGGCUGGUGGUGGUGGUGGUUGUGGGGCUGGUUGUGGGGCUGGUUGUGGGGCUGGUGGUGGUGGUUGUGGGGCUGGUUGUGGGGCUGGUGGUGGUGGUUGUGGGGCUAGUGGUUGGUGUGGGGGUGGUUGUGGGGCUGGUGGUUGGAGUGGGGCUGGUUGUAGGGCUGGUUGUGGGGCUGGUGGUUGGGGCUGUGGGGCCUGGGUGGUGGGGGUGGUUGUGGGGGCUGGUUGUAGGGCUGGUUGUGGGGCUGGUUGUGGGGCUGGUGGUUGGAGUUGUGGGGCUGGUUGUGGGGCUGGUUGUAGGGCUGGUUGUGGGGGUGGUUGUGGGGCUGGUGGUUGGGGCUAUGGGGGUGGUUGUGGGGCUGGUGUUGGUGGUGGUUGUGGGGCUGGUUGUGGGGCUGGUGGUCAGCGUUGUGGGGCUGGUGGUGGGGCUGGUGAUGGGGCUGGUUGUGGGGCUGGUUGUGGGGCUGGUUGUGGGGCUGGUGGUUGUGGUUGUGGGGCUGGUGGUGGUGGUUGUGGGGCUGGUUGUGGGGCUGGUGGCUGUGGUUGUGGGGCUGGUGGUGGUGGUGGUUGUGGGGCUGGUGGUUGGGGCUGUGGGGCUGGUUGUGGGGCUGGUGGUGGUGGUUGUGGGGCUAGUGGUUGGUGUGGGGGUGGUUGUGGGGCUGGUGGUUGGAGUGGGGCUGGUUGUAGGGCUGGUUGUGGGGCUGGUGGUGGGGCUGGUUGUGGGGCUGGUUGUGGGGCUUGUGGUUGGGGCAGUGGGGCUGGUGGUGGGGCUGGUGGUGGGGCUGGUGGUUGGAGUGGGGCUGGUUGUGGGGCUGGUGGUUGUAGUUGUGGGGCUGGUUGUGGGGCUGGUGAUGGGGCUGGUGGUUGGGGUUGUGGGGCUGGCUAUGGGGCUGGUUGUGGGGCUGGUUGUGGGGCUGGUGGUUGGGGCUGUGGGGCUGGUUGUGGGGCUGGUGGUGGGGCUGGUGGUUGGAGUUGUGGGGCUGGCGGUGGGGCUGGUGGUUGGAGUGGGGCUGGUUGUAGGGCUGGUUGUGGGGCUGGUUGUGGGGCUGGUGGUUGGGAUUGUGGGGCUGGUGGUUGGGGUGGGGGUGGUUGUGGGGCUUUCAGUGGUUGUGGGGCUGGGGGGUGUUGUAGGGAUGGGAGUGGUUGUGGGGCUGGUGGGUGGGGUGGGGGUGGUUGUGGGGCUGUUGGUGGUUGUGGGGCUGGGGGGUGUUGUCGGGAUGGGGGUGGUUGUGGGGCUGCUGGUUGGGAUAGGGGUGGUUGUGGGGCUGGUUGUAGGGCUGGUUGUGGGGCUGGUUGUGGGGCUGGUGGUUGGGAUUGUGGGGCUGGUGGGUGGGAUCGGGGUAGUUGUGGGGCUGGAGGAUGGGGUUGUUGGGUUAGGGGUGGUUGUGGGGAUGGAGGUGGUUGUGGGGCUGGGGGGUGUUGUAGGGAUGGGGCUGGUUGUGGGGCUGCUGGUUGGGAUAGGGGUAGUUGUGGGGCUGGUUGUUGGAAUGGGGCUGGUUGUGGGGCUGGUGGGUGGGGUUGUGGGGAUCGUGGUUGGUGUGGGGCUGGUGGUUGGGAUGGGGGUGGUUGUUGGGUUAGGGGUGGUUGUGGGGCUGCUGGUUGGGGUGGGGGUGGUUGUGGGGCUGUCGGUGGUUGUGGGGCUGUGGGGUGCUGUAGAGCCAAUGGAGGUUGUGGGGCUGAAGGCAGUUCUGGGGCUGUCGGGUGCUGUAGAUCCAAUGGUAGUUGUGGGGCUGCCGGUGGUUGUGGGGCUGUUGGGUGCCGUAGAGCCGGUGUCGGUUGUGGGGCUGCCGGUGGUUGUGGGGCUGAUGGCAGUUGUAGAGGCAAUGGUGGUUGUGGGGCUGUCGGGUGCUGUAGAGCCAAUGGUGGUUGUGGGGCUGUCGGGUGCUGUAGAGCCAAUGGUGGUUGUGGGGCUGUUGGGUGCCGUAGAGCCGGUGUCGGUUGUGGGGCUGCCGGUGGUUGUGGGGCUGAAGGCAGUUCUGGGGCUUUCAGGUGUUGUAGAGCCAAUGGUGGUUGUGGGGCUGUCGGGUGCUGUAGAGCCAAUGGAGGUUGUGGGGCUGAUGGCUGUUGUAGAGGCGGUGGUGGCUGUGGGGCUGCCGGUGGUUGUGGGGCUGAUGGCUGUUGUAGAUCCAGUGCUGGUUGUGGGGCUGCCGGCUGCUGUGGGGCUGCCAGCUGUUGUGGAGCCAAUGGAGGUUGUGGGGCUGUCAGGUGCUGUAGAGCCAAUGGUGGUUGUGGGGCUGAUGGCUGUUGUAGAGGCGGUGGUGGUUAUGGGGCUGUCGGUGGUUGUAGAGCCAAUGGUGGCUGUGGGGCUGCCGGUGGUUGUGGGGCUGACGGCAGUUGUAGAUCCAGUGGUGGCUGUGGGGCUGCCAGCUGUUGUGGAGCCAAUGGAGGUUGUGGGGCUGUCAGGUGCUGUAGAGCCAAUGGUGGUUGUGGGGCUGAUGGCUGUUGUAGAGGCGGUGGUGGUUAUGGGGCUGUCGGUGGUUGUAGAGCCAAUGGUGGCUGUGGGGCUGCCGGUGGUUGUGGGGCUGAUGGCUGUUGUAGAGGCGGUGGUGGCUGUGGGGCUGCCGGUGGUUGUGGGGCUGAUGGCUGUUGUAGAUCCAGUGCUGGUUGUGGGGCUGCCGGCUGCUGUGGGGCUGCCAGCUGUUGUGGAGCCAAUGGAGGUUGUGGGGCUGUCAGGUGCUGUAGAGCCAAUGGUGGCUGUGGGGCUGCCAGCUGUUGUAGAGCCGGUGGCGGUUGUGGGGCUGCCGGUGGUUAUGGGGCUGUCGGUGGUUGUAGAGCCAAUGGUGGCUGUGGGGCUGCCGGUGGUUGUGGGGCUGUUGGGUGCUGUAGAGCUGCCGGUGGUUGUGGGGCUGACGGCAGUUGUAGAUCCAGUGGUGGCUGUGGGGCUGCCAGCUGUUGUAGAGCCAAUGGAGGUUGUGGGGCUGCUGGUGGUUGUGGGGCUGCCAGCUGUUGUAGAGCCGGUGGUGGCUGUGGGGCUGCCGGUGGUUAUGGGGCUGUCGGGUGCUGUAGAGCCAAUGGAGGUUGUGGGGCUGAAGGCAGUUCUGGGGCUGUCGGGUGCUGUAGAUCCAAUGGUAGUUGUGGGGCUGCCGGUGGUUGUGGGGCUGUUGGGUGCCGUAGAGCCGGUGUCGGUUGUGG